GACGAACGCUGGCGGCGUGCUUAACACAUGCAAGUCGAACGGAAAGGCCCUGCUUUUGUGGGGUGCUCGAAUGGCGAAAGGGUGAGUAACCAGUGAGUAACCUGCCCUUGCCUUUGGGAUAACUUCAGGAAACUGGGGCUAAUACCGGAUAGGAGCUCCUGCUGCAUGGGGGGGGUUGGAAAGUUUCGGCGGUUGGGGAUGGACUCGCGGCUUAUGAGCUUGUGGGUGGGGUAGUGGCUUACCAAGGCUUUGACGGGUAGCCGGCCUGAGUGGGUGACCGGCCCCAUCGGGACUGAGGUAGGGCCCAGACUCCGACGGUAUGCAGCAGUGGGGAAUAUUCUGCAGCGGGCGGAAGCCGUAUGCGGUAGCGCCGUGCGGGUUAUGACGCUCUUUGGGUUGUAAACCGCUUUCGCCUGUGACGGAUGGGGAUUGACGUUAAUGGGUUAAGAAGCACCGGCUAACUACGUG
rnacentral:rRNA from 1 species